rnacentral:tRNA from 1 species
GUUUAUAUAGUUUAAAAAAAACAUUAUAUUUUCAAUAUAAAAAUAAAUAAAUUUUAUAAAUU